GACGAACGCUGGCGGCGUGCCUAAUACAUGCAAGUUGAGCGAUGAAGAUUGGUGCUUGCACCAAUUUGAAGAGCAGCGAACGGGUGAGUAACGCGUGGGGAAUCUGCCUUUGAGCGGGGGACAACAUUUGGAAACGAAUGCUAAUACCGCAUAAUAACUUUAAACAUAAGUUUUAAGUUUGAAAGAUGCAAUUGCAUCACUCAAAGAUGAUCCCGCGUUGUAUUAGCUAGUUGGUGAGGUAAAGGCUCACCAAGGCGAUGAUACAUAGCCGACCUGAGAGGGUGAUCGGCCACAUUGGGACUGAGACACGGCCCAAACUCCUACGGGAGGCAGCAGUAGGGAAUCUUCGGCAAUGGACGAAAGUCUGACCGAGCAACGCCGCGUGAGUGAAGAAGGUUUUCGGGUCGUAAAACUCUGUUGGUAGAGAAGAACGUUGGUGAGAGUGGAAAGCUCAUCAAGUGACGGUAACUACCCAGAAAGGGACGGCUAACUACGUG
rnacentral:rRNA from 1 species